ensembl:lncRNA
GUUAAUAAUAAUAAUAAUAAUAAUAAUAAUAAUAAUAAUAAUAAUAAUAAUUAUUAUUAUUAUUAUUAUUAUUAUUAUUAUUAUGAUUAUGAUUAUUAUUAUUAUUAUUACUCCCUCAAGAUUCUCUCGGCCACUAUCCGGGACUCAACCAGAGUCCUUGGGAGUUCCUCUCUAAGAGUAGAGAUCGAUGUGUGCAAACCCUCUGUGUUCCCAUGUCCCAGGACCUGUUGAAGUCGAUUCCCAGGUUCUUGUAUUUGGUGAACUUGUUGUUUUCCUUCUUUACUAUAUUGUGGUCCACUGGGAUUGCAACGUCGAUAAGCAGGUUCUUAUUGUGGACAAUGAUGUCUGGGUGGUUUUCACUGAUGUUCAGGUUGGUAAACAUACCCUUGACCUAUAUGAUGGUACAGUCGUCAGUGUUCACUACUGGUUGUGGGACAUUCUCAUACCACUUGUCAGGCACUUCAACACCAAGUUCAUUGCAAAUCGGCCGAUAGAUGUAGCUGGCAACCUUGUUAUUUCGCUCCAUAUAGUAUAUGCCAGAAAGUGUGGAGCAACCAGAAAUGAUGUGACUGACUGCUUCCUCAGUCACUCCACACAUUCUAUAUCUACUGUCAAGCUGCAGGUGGAGGAUCUUGCAUUGGUGAUACCUGGUGUUAAGUGUUUGAUCCUGGGCAGCGAUGAUCAGGCUUUCCAUUUCAGGAAAACACUUCGGAGCCUAGCUAGACUAGCUUCCUUGUCUAUGAACGGCUCAUUCAGAUAUUUGAAGAACUUGCUGUGGAGAGACUUCUCCUUCACACACUCGAUCCAGUCUUAUUCAAUAUUCUCUCUCAGUGCUCGACCUCAGGCUCGGCUUUCCACCCACGGUUCUGGCACUCUCUGGGUGAUCCCUGUGCCUGUGAAGAACAUAGUGUCUGCAGAUCUCGUUCAGCAUCUUCGUCAGGGAGGACCUGGUUUUGCUGGCUUCAUGCUUCUUCACCAUCUUCGUGAGCUUGUCACUACCUCAUUCAAUGAAUUUGCUAAGGCUGAUAAUGGCAAUGUUGUGUGCAUACUCAAGCUCAAUAAGCCUGCGGCCAUCGUCACGUCUCUUGAUAUACAAUCUGUCUGCAACUGUUUUCGUGUGGUGCAUGCCAUGCAUCAUUAGCAUUUUCCUCACCUUCAUGUUUAUCUUCGUGAUCUCUU